rnacentral:lncRNA from 1 species
UUGUUCACUUGCACAGUCCUAUGGUCAUAGCUAGUCCUUCUUAAAGCUCUAGCCAGUGGGAAAGCGUUUGUGUUUCUAUCCUUGGAGCUCCAAGUGGGACUUCUUAAAAGAUUUAGAAGGAGCAAAGCUGUCAGGAAAUCAGAAACGUCACAUGGACUCCAUGACUGGGAAAAACCUCGUGGUGGCCUGCUCUCAGUGCUUGGAUGUGUGCUAGUUACAUCUCGGAGAGAGCCGAGUUCUGUCACCACAGACAUUGGCAGUGGCACUUGCAUGCCCCUGGCAAGCAGUCUAUCCUGAGGUGGAGGAAGUUGCCCUUGAGUUCUGGCUGGUAACCAGCACAGUAUACCCUUUAAGCGUUCCAGAAGGAUUUUGAGAUCCUUUCCUAAAUCAAAGGUGGAAUAUUUGGGGAUUUGGAAAAUUGAGAUGUGAAGCGUUGACUUAAGAGAUGCCAAGUAACUCAGCAGAUGUCACACAGACGAUAAAUAGCAAAGAUGGAAGUCUUCAUGCCGGAGGCAAUCCUAUAAGACAGCUGAGUUCUGCAGAGCUGGUAGGAGACAGACUUGCUCAGGUGAUAGAUCCAGCCAUGAUACUGACCCUAAGAGAAUGAGACGCUCUGCAGAAGACAGAAGAUUCCUGAAACUGGGAAAGGUGCCUAGAAAUCCUGAUAAGAGUGAAGAAGGGUACCUGGAGGCACAGCAGCCAUGUUGAACCUAUGAGGUGAUGAAAAACCAUGCAACUAGAAACCAGAAUGGAAGAAAAGAAGAAGCUGGAUCCUUGACUGAAUUGUCGAUGGGGGAUAGUCCAUCAUCCCAGGGCUAAGACCACCUCCAGAUUUCUUGUUUGGUGAAACAAGUCCUGAUUGUUUACAUUCCCUCGUGUUGAGCUGUCUCUUGCUUGUAGCUGAAAGCAUUUCUAAUAGAUAUUCAGAUUAUCAGCCUUAGCUCCAAGCUAGAAUACUCUAUGGGACCUUAGCUUCUCCAUGAAUUCCUUUGCUCAUCUGUGUAAUGCUCAAUAAAUGUAAAUUGAACCCUGAAUGAGGGACAAUGACACUAUUGAAGUCA